ACACUAACUGUAGAUGAAGUGGUAUUUUAAAGCUUUGCACAUUCUUUAAUUACAAAAAUAUUAUAUUCUGUCACGGCUAACAUCAGUCCUACAGAUGUAAAAGCAAUCACACUUAUUUUAUGCAAAACAAAUAUUCAUCUGGAGAAUACACUUCAUACAUACAAAAACAAAGACCUCAACAGCGGACGCAAAACAGAAUAAAGUGAUGCAAGCUGACGAUGCAACAUGUUUUCCUGAGUGCAAAGAUCAAAGACCAGAAAAAAGGACAGAAAGUGACCACUUGUGAAUGAUGAUGCUAAGAGGAAGUGAAUGUUUUCACUUUCAAACUGGCUUUUGUAGUAUUUUUUCAUGCCUGGUAAUGUCGUUAAUUUUGCAUAUUAUGCGUGUACUGCUGGAGCAGCAGGAGUAGCACCAAAAUUAUAAAAAACAAAAACAAAUUACAAUCAGAUCUCAAACUAUUCUGAACUGCAAUGUUACUACUGUGGUGAUUAGUUGUAAGGCCACAUUUUAGACGGAAAAACUGUGACGAAUCACAGCAGAAACAAAAGCUUUGGCACACAUCUGAGGACAAUUCCUCUGAGACAAAAUCCAGCCUGCCCUGUAAAAGAACUAUAAUUCUGCAUCACAAUGCUUUGCAAUAAUCCCUUUGACCAGCAGGAGAAGUAAGUGAUCAGUGGUGCAGCAGGAACAAACAUUUUCUGUAAAACUAUGACUUAACCGUAGUCACCCAAAAUACAGACAGCAACAAAUAUCAGGCCAGAAUGUGGUUUGGUAAGACGGCGUCUGUUCACCGAGGCCUACUGUAGUGGGACUAGAGGAUCUACUAGAGUGCGUUAAUAUUAUGCAGACACUGAAAACUUUCAACACAUUUUGUGAUGCAACAGUCUGUUUACAUGCAAUGUGGUUACAUGUACUGAAAAACUCUCAAAAAAAAAAAAAAAAAAUCUGUUAAUGAUUGCAACCGGGAAGACAAGCAUCUACCAACUCUGCAGGCAUUGACAGGAAGGAUAUUAUGCUUUGUUGCAAUUUAAAAUGCCUGAAAACAUUCUUCAAAAUAUUUGCUUUGGAAUGUUUAUUUCUGAGACUAACAGGCCUUGAUAUAAAACCAUCUGUGCCUGCUCCUCUGCUAUAGUUUCCAUCUUAUGCUUACAUAAGUCAAUAAUUGCCAAUGACAUUCUCAGGGGAAAAUGACAGGAUAAGCCAGUUUGUGUUUCAGCCCUGAUUGCAACAGCAAUGUGAUAUUUAGCACAUUUACAGCACAAAGAGCAGAACACUGAAACGCUGUUAUGUCACUGGUAAUACUGAAGAACUCCUGAUGAGGGAAAGACUAAAUAAGUUCUAGCUUUGAGAUUUAGAAUAAAAAUGAAGCAAUAAUUUGUGGUUCCUUGUUGUAGGACAAUGAGACACAGGACUCCAUCCAAGAUCCCAUCAUCACUAUCAACAAGUCCCUGCUUGAAUUAGCUGGUGACACUAUCUUCAUCUUUUUUGGUGAAAGAGCUACGUUAACGGAAAUUUGAACACGAUGCUGAGUGACCACAACAUUUGAUAGCAUAUUGACUGAUAUUGAGUGUUGCAGCAUACUCUAACAAGAUGCUACUGAAACAGUAGCAGCUGCAACCUACUGGUCAGGUCAUUAGGUACAUCUGUUCAACUGCUGAUUAAAGGAAAUUUCUAAUCAGCCAAACUGCACUUUUAGUAGGCACAAGCUCUCCAAAAUUGCAGAAUGAAAGCUUGAACUGUGUAUCAAAAAUCCAGGCUGUUGCUGGUGGUGUAAUGGUGGAGCAAAUUCGCUAUGCAUUAGGUCAUUAUGGACCAAAAUCUCAGCCAUUUGUUUCAGCGCCUUGUUGAAUUUAUGCCACAAAGAAAAUUAAAGCAGUCCUAAGACCAAGAUGGGAUCUAACCCAGUAGUAGCCAGGUGAACCUAAUAAAUGGUCAGUAAGCACAUCUUAAAGUUAACUAACAAAACAACCACAUAAACAAAUACUCAUUCAGCACUGGAUUAUCAGUUGUUAUGGCGAGCUGUGAACUAAGGCCUACUUACGCAAAAGGCAGUCAGAGCCAAAUUACUGUCACCUGAAUAACUGUACUAAUAUACAAAUAUUUUGCUUUGAUUUGGUUUGGUUUACCAACUCCCAAGAAAACUAUCAGGGGUUUACCUUGGUACAGCUUCAGCUUUCUUUGACACCGGGCUACUUUGUGUUGCUACAUUAUUUAGGUAUGCAGGUAACAUACACCCAGCUUGUCAGUUUUUUAUUUUUUUUCUAUAAAUUAAAAGUAUGUGGGCCAAAUAAUUUAAACAUGAUAACAACAGCUAUGAAAGAGCUGAAUGUUACACAGAACCCAUUUUCAUUACAAAAAAAAAAAAAAAAAAAAUAAAAAAAUAAAAAAAAAAAUCACAGACAACAUGGUGCAGUACUAAAUGAUUGUGAAAAGCAGAGUUUUGCCCCAUAUUUUCAAAUCUCCAAAAUGGAGAGAAAAUAAAUGUAUUGCAUUCAUCCAUCCUGUCACAAGUAAACAAACUUCUGGUUUCCUUGCCUCCAUACAGCACAGCCCCACUAUCAUCACUAAUACUGUCCAGUCGGCUGUCCAGCAGCCUUCACUCCUACACAGUGAGCUCGCUCACAGAAUGAAAAUACCUCAUGAGCUGAAGAGGAAAUGGUCCGAGGUCACUGGUGAAGUCUUUAGAUAGGUUACAUAAUGUUAGCAG